AAGAAGCGCAUGAAAAGGGAAUCCGGUGUGAAUCCGGGACAGUGCCCGCUACUGUAAAUCCCCUAUGAGGUGGAGAGUUAUCCACUCUUUUGCCACUGUCUGCCAAACGGUAGACGGGAAGGCGAACUCUCCCGGGGAAAGUCAGGAAACCUGCCUGAGCUGUAA
rnacentral:ncRNA from 1 species